rnacentral:lncRNA from 1 species
GAUUGUUAGAUGUUGGUUUUGGUGUGGAAAAGGGCCUCCUCUUGUGCAACAAAAAAUAUUUAAGAUGGGUAUGAAGGCAUGAGGGAUUUUUUUUUUCUUUGGGCGCAUGCGCCAUAACCACCGUGCCGCCCUCCUUUUCUCAUCCACGCCAAAUUUUUUAUCACCCCCUUUUCUUCCAUGCCCAAGAUCAGAUCAGAUCUGAUUAAGGCCAUUAGGAGUUAAUUAGUGAGUUAUUUUGUGUGACAAAAUAAAAGUGAGAGAACUAGGGCAUGUGCAAGUGGUUGUACAUGACUUCUUGGCACCCUCUCUUUCUCCUCAACUCCCUCUUCCUCAUUCUUAUUCCCAACAUCCACUUCCACCUCUAGAUAGGGAUCUGAGGGGGUUUGGGCAGAGAAAAGAAAAGAUGAAGAAAAAGAUUUUUUUCAUCUUGUCUAGUGAUCAACAAAUUUGUACGAAGGGUUCGUGCAAUAGUCCCUGAUGCAACCCUAUUUUUCGAGAUCUAGAAGGGCUCAAAUCCAAGCUGAGGAGUGAAACCUGCAAGGUACUAGCAUAUCGGUGGCCUCGGUAUUUCGAUCGGAUAUCUCCGUGUGGAUAUCAAUAGAAGUAGGAUGCUUGUGCGGCUACGACACGAACCCUGGAUAUCUGCAAGAUCCGAUCAGGUAUGGAGAUCAGAUCUCCGAU